rnacentral:rRNA from 1 species
UACGUAGGGCGCAAGCGUUAUCCGGAAUUAUUGGGCGUAAAGAGCUCGUAGGCGGUUUGUCGCGUCUGCCGUGAAAGUCCGGGGCUCAACUCUGGAUCUGCGGUGGGUACGGGCAGACUAGAGUGAUGUGGGGGAGACUGGAAUUCCUGGUGUAGCGGUGAAAUGCGCAGAUAUCAGGAGGAACACCGGUGGCGAAGGCGGGUCUCUGGGCCGAUACUGACGCUGAGGAGCGAAAGCGUGGGGAGCGAACAGG